rnacentral:rRNA from 1 species
GACGAACGCUGGCGGCGUGCCUAAUACAUGCAAGUAGAACGCUGAAGGAAGAGCUUGCUUCUCUGGAUGAGUUGCGAACGGGUGAGUAACGCGUAGGUAACCUGCCUGGUAGCGGGGGAUAACUAUUGGAAACGAUAGCUAAUACCGCAUAAUAGUAGAUGUUGCAUGACAUUUGCUUAAAAGGUGCAAUUGCAUCACUACCAGAUGGACCUGCGUUGUAUUAGCUAGUUGGUGAGGUAACGGCUCACCAAGGCAACGAUACAUAGCCGACCUGAGAGGGGGAUCGGCCACACUGGGACUGAGACACGGCCCAGACUCCUACGGGAGGCAGCAGUAGGGAAUCUUCGGCAAUGGACGGAAGUCUGACCGAGCAACGCCGCGUGAGUGAAGAAGGUUUUCGGAUCGUAAAGCUCUGUUGUAAGAGAAGAACGAGUGUGAGAGUGGAAAGUUCACACUGUGACGGUAUCUUACCAGAAAGGGACGGCUAACUACGUG